rnacentral:rRNA from 2 species
UGGGGAAUAUUGGUCAAUGGGCGAAAGCCUGAACCAGCAACGCCGCGUGAAGGAUGAAGGCCUUCGGGUUGUAAACUUUUGUCUUCAGGGAAGAAACAAAUGACGGUACCUGAGGAGGAAGCCACGGCUAACUACGUGCCAGCAGCCGCGGUAAUACGUAGGUGGCAAGCGUUGUCCGGAAUUACUGGGUGUAAAGGGUGCGUAGGCGGGCUGUAAAGUCAGAUGUGAAACUCCGGAGCUCAACUCCGGAACUGCAUUUGAAACUUAUGGUCUUGAGUGAAGUAGAGGUAAGCGGAAUUCCCGGUGUAGCGGUGAAAUGCGUAGAUAUCGGGAGGAACAUCAGUGGCGAAGGCGGCUUACUGGGCUUUAACUGACGCUGAGGCACGAAAGCAUGGGGAGCAAACAGG